GGGGGCAACCCUGGCGGCGAGCGGCGAACGGGUGAGUAACACAUCGGAACGUACCCAAUUGUGGGGGAUAACACAUCGAAAGAUGUGCUAAUACCGCAUAAGUCCUGAGGGAGAAAGCGGGGGAUCGCAAGACCUCGCGCGAAUGGAGCGGCCGAUGUUCGAUUAGCUAGUUGGUGGGGUAAAGGCCUACCAAGGCGACGAUCGAUAGCUGGUCUGAGAGGACGACCAGCCACACUGGAACUGAGACACGGUCCAGACUCCUACGGGAGGCAGCAGUGGGGAAUUUUGGACAAUGGGGGCAACCCUGAUCCAGCCAUUCCGCGUGAGUGAAGAAGGCCUUCGGGUUGUAAAGCUUUUUCGGCAGGAACGAAAAAGGUGCGGCUAAUACCCGCACUCCAUGACGGUACCUGAAGAAGAAGCACCGGCUAACUACGUGCCAGCAGCCGCGGUAAUACGUAGGGUGCGAGCGUUAAUCGGAAUUACUGGGCGUAAAGCGUGCGCAGGCGGUUUUGUAAGACAGCUGUGAAAUCCCCGGGCUCAACCUGGGAACUGCGGUUGUGACUGCAAGACUUGAGUGUGGCAGAGGGGGGUGGAAUUCCACGUGUAGCAGUGAAAUGCGUAGAGAUGUGGAGUAACACCGAUGGCGAAGGCAGCCCCCUGGGUCAACACUGACGCUCAUGCACGAAAGCGUGGGGAGCAAACAGGAUUAGAUACCCUGGUAGUCCACGCCCUAAACGAUGCCAACUAGGUGUUGGGAAAGGAGACUUUCUUAGUGCCGUAGCUAACGCGUGAAGUUGGCCGCCUGGGGAGUACGGUCGCAAGAUUAAAACUCAAAGGAAUUGACGGGGACCCGCACAAGCGGUGGAUGAUGUGGAUUAAUUCGAUGCAACGCGAAAAACCUUACCUACCCUUGACAUGUCAGGAAUCCCGGAGAGAUUUGGGAGUGCUCGAAAGAGAACCUGAACACAGGUGCUGCAUGGCUGUCGUCAGCUCGUGUCGUGAGAUGUUGGGUUAAGUCCCGCAACGAGCGCAACCCUUGUCAUUAAUUGCCAUCAUUUAGUUGGGCACUUUAAUGAGACUGCCGGUGACAAACCGGAGGAAGGUGGGAUGACGUCAAGUCCUCAUGGCCCUUAUGGGUAGGGCUUCACACGUCAUACAAUGGUCGGUACAGAGGGUUGCCAACCCGCGAGGGGGAGCCAAUCCCACAAAGCCGAUCGUAGUCCGGAUUGGAGUCUGCAACUCGACUCCAUGAAGUCGGAAUCGCUAGUAAUCGUGGAUCAGCAUGUCACGGUGAAUACGUUCCCGGG
rnacentral:rRNA from 1 species